UGUGUGUGUGUGUGUGUGUGUGUGUGUGUGUGUGUGUGUGUGUGUGUGUGUGUGUGUGUGUGUUCUUUCAUAGAAGUUGUUAUUUCCAAGAUACGAAGUUCGAAAAGCUAGCAUUUAGUAAUAGACGAAUUUUGCAGCUGAUAUCAGAAUCGAAAUGAUGAUGGUACUACACGAGAUGCUCAUGGAAAAGGUAUCAGUUUGCUUUUCUCCUCCCACGAGCAGUACAAAGUGUGGGUUCAACUUUAAUCUGAUAGAAGAUAUCGUAUGCGGAACCCAAGCCCGGCUAUGUCUGUACAUAAUAACGAAAGAAACCGGUUAUGCUGCGAGGGCGUUUAGCUCGAUAGAUGUUGAAAAUGCCCACAGCAUUAUAAAUCAUUUGGACCGCCGAGGGGUCCAAAACUCCUCAAUCGAAGAGCUUAGUAGACAUGUCAGCAACCUACAGAGACUUCAAAUUCUCAGGAAAACCUCUCUAGGACGGAAGCUUUAUACUCCGACAUCCACAAUUUACCACGCCCCUGAGAUCGAC